UCUAGACCACACGGACAGAUGACUUGAAAAUAUUUCUGACUCCGAAGUAAUUAUCCUUUGCAUAAUGGCACUUCUGGGAAUACUUCAGAAGCUUCCACCACUGUUCUGUUUUUUAAUCAGGUGGGAUAUGAAGACUAAUCAGUUUUAGGUUUCAAAUUGUGCCUUCAUACAUGUGAUAUGAAAUUAUAAAUAUGCCAUUUACUUUUAUGAGUUUGUU
rnacentral:lncRNA from 1 species